CAUUUGAUUGAUUCCAUUAUAGAACAGAAGAAGCUAAAGAUUGAACAUCAUGUGCCAAAGUGUCUGGUUAAGGUGGUUUAACUUAAACCACUUGUACUUUGCCUACAUAAACCUUCCACGCUUUAUAUGUACACCAAAUUAGGAAAAACUUAACAUACCAACAACUGCUAAUUAAGCAUACAGAGUUUUAACUUUUUAAGUUGGAAAACCAUAACAAGUGAUUACUGGGAAGCAAAAAUUAAGAGGUUUGUUAACCUUUAUGCAUGGUACCAAAAGUUCUGAAAGCCGCAGAUUAAUUCGCAUUAAGGAGACUCAUUAUUUGUCCUUUUGAGAGUGGUUUCAAGUUGCUUAAAGGAGUGGUUAGCUAACCAAAUCACUACUUGGAGACCAAGUCCUUUAGGUACCGUGACUGGUGACCCAUGCAUGCACGUUUGAGAGUUUGUAUUGUGUUUGUAAUCUCUUCUCUCUUCUCAGACGUUGUGAAAACCAAAUUUUUAGCAAUGAUAAGAUCUCCAUUUCCCUAGAAA